UACGGGGGGAGCAAGCGUUGUUCGGAUUUACUGGGCGUAAAGGGCGCGUAGGCGGCCAGCGCAAGUCAGUUGUGAAAUCUCCGAGCUUAACUCGGAAAGGUCAACUGAUACUGCGCGGCUAGAGUGCGGAAGGGGCAACUGGAAUUCUUGGUGUAGCGGUGAAAUGCGUAGAUAUCAAGAGGAACACCUGCGGCGAAGGCGGGUUGCUGGGCCGACACUGGCGCUGAGGCGCGAAAGCCAGGGGAGCGAACGGG
rnacentral:rRNA from 1 species